GCGCAGGCCAGGGGCAUUAAUAGAAUUCCCGUAAAGAAAAAUCGUCCCACGGCUGAAUGUAAUUGGGGACGUCUGCUAUAGGAUAUAUAAUCAUUAAUACCUGAGCACGCUCCUUUCAGAGACGCAGGAGAAACAAGUCAGCUCAGGGUGACCAUCUGUAACAUCUUACUUGUUACUACUACAACUGAACCAGCUACUACCACACCUGUAUCCAGCAUCAUGCUCCUUGUCAGACUGACUGCGUUCACCUUGCUGGCUGCAGUUUGCUGUACACUACCAGCUGCAGGUACGUUGGUGA